GGGGGCGACCUGGUUUCGACGCGGGUACCGAAGCAGUACAGUGCAUGCCGAGGACCAGAGCCCUCGUUAAUCCAUCUGGAAACGCACUAGACGCCAACGACGAGCGUUUCGCUCUCGCCGCCUAAUACCGGCGAGACGCAGCACUGACCUGCUGAUGGGUCAGGCCGGCUAAAACCGGUGCUGCGCCAUUCACAUCAGCCUCUCUGCAUGGCUUGGUCGCUUAGCCAUGCGGAUCCGUCGAAGCGACUGGCCAAGCACCAGCCUGCCGAUCGGCGGGAGCGAGGCGAGACCCAAAUGAUCAGGCUAAGCAUGUAGGACUGUCUGUGGACGGCUUGCGGACGGGGGUUCGAUUCCCCCCGCCUCCACCA
rnacentral:tmRNA from 1 species